rnacentral:rRNA from 1 species
CAACGGCCGCGGUAUCCUAACCGUGCAAAGGUAGCAUAAUCAUUUGCCUAUUAAUUGUAGGCUAGAAUGAAGGGGUUAACGAAAUAAAAGCUGUCUCAAUUAAUUAACUAAAAAUUAUUUUCUAUCCGAAGAAAGGUAGAUAAUCUCGAAGGACAAGAAGACCCUAUAGAGCUUAAUUUUAACUAUAGAAUCAUACUAUAUAAAUAUUCGGUUGGGGCGACCCAGGGCUAAUUAAUCACCCAUUAAAUAAAAGAUAAAUAAAUCUAAUAAAUGAUCCCCUAAAGAUCAUAAAACAAGCUACCUUAGGGAUAACAGGCUAAUCCCACUUAAGAGUCCUUAUCAAAAGUGGGGUUUGGCACCUCGAUGUUGGCUUAGGGUAUCUCUAUAGCGC